rnacentral:rRNA from 1 species
GAUGAACGCUGGCGGCGUGCCUAAUACAUGCCAGUCGAGCGAACAGACGAGGAGCUUGCUCCUCUGACGUUAGCGGCGGACGGGUGAGUAACACGUGGAUAACCUACCUAUAAGACUGGGAUAACUUCGGGAAACCGGAGCUAAUACCGGAUAAUAUAUUGAACCGCAUGGUUCAAUAGUGAAAGACGGUUUUGCUGUCACUUAUAGAUGGAUCCGCGCCGCAUUAGCUAGUUGGUAAGGUAACGGCUUACCAAGGCAACGAUGCGUAGCCGACCUGAGAGGGUGAUCGGCCGCACUGGAACCGAGACACGGUCCAGACUCCUACGGGAGGCAGCAGUAGGGAAUCUUCCGCAAUGGGCGAAAGCCUGACGGAGCAACGCCGCGUGAGUGAUGAAGGUCUUCGGAUCGUAAAACUCUGUUAUUAGGGAAGAACAAAUGUGUAAGUAACUAUGCACGUCUUGACGGUACCUAAUCAGAAAGCCACGGCUAACUACGUG